rnacentral:rRNA from 1 species
AUUGAACGCUGGCGGCAGGCCUAACACAUGCAAGUCGAGCGAGCGGCGGACGGGUGAGUAAUGUAUGGGGACUGCCCGAUAGAGGGGGAUAACUACUGGAAACGGUGGCUAAUACCGCAUACUAUCGGAUACCCAAGAGGGGAUUAGCUAGUAGGUUGGGUAAAGGCUCACCUAGGCGACGAUCUCUAGCUGGUAUGAGAGGAUGAUAAGCCACACGGGGACUGGGACACGGCCCAGUCUCCUACGGAGGCAGCAGUGGGGAAUAUUGCACAAUGGGCUCAAUCCUGAUGCAGCCAUGCCGCGUGUAUGAAGAAGGCCUUAGGGUUGUAAAGUACUUUCAGCGGGGAGGCGUUACCCGCAGAAGAAGCACCGGCUAACUCCGUGCCAGCAGCCGCGGUAAUAC